GACGAACGCUGGCGGCGUGCUUAACACAUGCAAGUCGAACGGAAAGGCCCUGCUUGCAGGGUACUCGAGUGGCGAACGGGUGAGUAACACGUGGGUGAUCUGCCCUGCACUUCGGGAUAAGCUUGGGAAACUGGGUCUAAUACCGGAUAGGAACCAUCUUUAGUGUGGUGGUUGGAAAGUUUUUUCGGUGUAGGAUGAGCUCGCGGCCUAUCAGCUUGUUGGUGGGGUAAUGGCCUACCAAGGCGGCGACGGGUAGCCGGCCUGAGAGGGUGUACGGCCACAUUGGGACUGAGAUACGGCCCAGACUCCUACGGGAGGCAGCAGUGGGGAAUAUUGAACAAUGGGCGCAGGCCUGAUGCAGCGACGCCGCGGGGGGGAUGAAGGCCUUCGGGUUGUAAACUCCUUUCGCUAGGGACGAAGCUUUUUGUGACGGUACCUAGAUAAGAAGCACCGGCUAACUACGUG
rnacentral:rRNA from 1 species